rnacentral:rRNA from 1 species
CUACUGGGGUUUCUAAUCCUGUUUGCUACCCACGCUUUCGUGUCUCAGCGUCAGAAGUGGUCCAGUAAGCUGUCUACACCACAGGUGUUCCUCCUGAUAUCUACGCAUUUCACCGCUACACCAGGAAUUCCGCUUACCUCUCCCACCCUCUAGCAUUCUAGUUUCCGCUGCACCCUCCCAGUUAAGCCGGGAGAUUUCACAACAGACUGGGAACACCGCCUACACACUCUUUACGCCCAGUAAUUCCGAACAACGCUCGCUGCCUACGUAUUACCGCGGCUGCUGGCAC